rnacentral:misc_RNA from 1 species
CACCCCCCACGCAACGCGUGAUGUUGGGCGAUGCGGGAGACCGCACGCCUGGAACUCAUAGGCGGCCGCCUCGGCCCUGCGAGCGUAGCAAGACGGAUCCCCCUGGGGAACCCAGCGCGCGCAGGCCGCGGGCGGCUCAGCCCCCAGCUAUGGCGUACGCGCCCAUCAG